AGUGCCUACGGGGGGCUGCAGUCGCGAAACCUUUACAAUGCGCGAAAGCGCGAUAGGGGGAUUUCGAGUGCAAGCUUUGCUGGCUUUUGCCAAGCCCAAAAAGCUUGGCGAAUAAAUGGGGGGCAAGAUACGUGCCAGCCGCCGCGGUAAUACGUACUCCAUUAGUGGUAUCCACUUAUAUUGGGCCUAAAACGUCCGUAGCUCGCCUGAAAAGUCCUUGGUGAAAGCAAUCAGCUUAACUGAUUGAAUUGCCAAGGAUACUGCCAGGCUAGAGGCCGGAAGAGGUCAAGGGAAUUUCAGGGGUAGCGGUGAAAUGUUAUGAUCCUUGAAAGACCUCCAGUAGCGAAGGCGCUUGACCAGGACGGUCCUGACAGUGAGGGACGAAAGCUGGGGGAGCGACCCGGAUUAGAUACCCGUGUAGUC
rnacentral:rRNA from 1 species